ensembl:snoRNA Small nucleolar RNA SNORD38
UUUCGAUGAGGAUAACUUCGUCCAGUUCUGCUACUGAAUGCAAGUGACGACAAUGUGACUCUGAGAAA